rnacentral:misc_RNA from 1 species
GACAGCGGUUACACUCGACAG